rnacentral:tRNA from 1 species
AGCUACAGAUGCCCUAAAUAGUUAAUAAAAACAAUAGGUUAUAUUUUCUUGCCAGCAUUCAUAAUGCUGGGGUCGGUGGUUCAAGUCCACCCGUAGCUACCA